CCUACGGGUGGCUGCAGUGGGGAAUAUUGGACAAUGGGGGGAACCCUGAUCCAGCCAUGCCGCGUGUGUGAAGAAGGCCCUCGGGUUGUAAAGCACUUUCAGUGAGGAAGAACGCCUGGUGGUUAAUACCCAUCAGGAAAGACAUCACUCACAGAAGAAGCAUCGGCUAACUCCGUGCCAGCAGCCGCGGUAAUACGGAGGGUGCGAGCGUUAAUCGGAAUUACUGGGCGUAAAGCGCGCGUAGGUGGCUUGAUAAGCCGGUUGUGAAAGCCCCGGGCUCAACCUGGGAACGGCAUCCGGAACUGUCAAGCUAGAGUGCAGGAGAGGAAGGUAGAAUUCCCGGUGUAGCGGUGAAAUGCGUAGAGAUCGGGAGGAAUACCAGUGGCGAAGGCGGCCUUCUGGACUGACACUGACACUGAGGUGCGAAAGCGUGGGUAGCAAACAGGAUUAGAUACCCGAGUAGUC
rnacentral:rRNA from 1 species